UACGAAGGGGGCAAGCGUUGUUCGGAAUUACUGGGCGUAAAGGGCGCGUAGGCGGCUCUGAUAGUCAGACGUGAAAGCCCCGGGCUUAACCUGGGAAUUGCGCUUGAUACUGCAGGGCUUGAGUUCGGGAGAGGAGAGUGGAAUUCCCAGUGUAGAGGUGAAAUUCGUAGAUAUUGGGAAGAACACCAGUGGCGAAGGCGGCUCUCUGGACCGAUACUGACGCUGAGGCGCGAAAGCGUGGGGAGCAAACAGG
rnacentral:rRNA from 1 species